UGCAGUCGAGCGAACAGACGAGGAGCUUGCUCCUUUGACGUUAGCGGCGGACGGGUGAGUAACACGUAGGUAACCUACCUAUAAGACUGGGAUAACUUCGGGAAACCGGAGCUAAUACCGGAUAAUAUUUCGAACCGCAUGGUUCGAUAGUGAAAGAUGGCUUUGCUAUCACUUAUAGAUGGACCUGCGCCGUAUUAGCUAGUUGGUAAGGUAACGGCUUACCAAGGCAACGAUACGUAGCCGACCUGAGAGGGUGAUCGGCCACACUGGAACUGAGACACGGUCCAGACUCCUACGGGAGGCAGCAGUAGGGAAUCUUCCGCAAUGGGCGAAAGCCUGACGGAGCAACGCCGCGUGAGUGAUGAAGGUCUUCGGAUCGUAAAACUCUGUUAUUAGGGAAGAACAAACGUGUAAGUAACUGUGCACGUCUUGACGGUACCUAAUCAGAAAGCCACGGCUAACUACGUGCCAGCAGCCGCGGUAAUACGUAGGUGGCAAGCGUUAUCCGGAAUUAUUGGGCGUAAAGCGCGCGUAGGCGGUUUUUUAAGUCUGAUGUGAAAGCCCACGGCUCAACCGUGGAGGGUCAUUGGAAACUGGAAAACUUGAGUGCAGAAGAGGAAAGUGGAAUUCCAUGUGUAGCGGU
rnacentral:rRNA from 1 species